rnacentral:rRNA from 1 species
GGGUUGUGAGGUUAAGCGACUAAGCGUACACGGUGGAUGCCCUGGCAGUCAGAGGCGAUGAAGGACGUGCUAAUCUGCGAAAAGCGUCGGUAAGGUGAUAUGAACCGUUAUAGCCGGCGAUGUCCGAAUGGGGAAACCCAGUGCAAUUCGUUGCACUAUCGUUAACUGAAUACAUAGGUUAACGAGGCGAACCGGGGGAACUGAAACAUCUAAGUACCCCGAGGAAAAGAAAUCAACCGAGAUUCCCCCAGUAGCGGCGAGCGAACGGGGAGCAGCCCAGAGUCUGAAUCAGCUUGUGUGUUAGUGGAACGGUCUGGAAAGUCCGACGGUACAGGGUGAUAGUCCCGUACACCAAAAUGCACAGGUUGUGAACUCGAAGAGUAGGGCGGGACACGUGGUAUCCUGUCUGAAUAUGGGGGGACCAUCCUCCAAGGCUAAAUACUCCUGACUGACCGAUAGUGAACCAGUACCGUGAGGGAAAGGCGAAAAGAACCCCGGCGAGGGGAGUGAAAAAGAACCUGAAACCGUGUACGUACAAGCAGUGGGAGCACCUUCGGGUGUGACUGCGUACCUUUUGUAUAAUGGGUCAGCGACUUAUAUUCUGUAGCAAGGUUAACCGUAUAGGGGAGCCGCAGGGAAACCGAGUCUUAACUGGGCGUUAAGUUGCAGGGUAUAGACCCGAAACCCGGUGAUCUAGCCAUGGGCAGGUUGAAGGUUGGGUAACACUAACUGGAGGACCGAACCGACUAAUGUUGAAAAAUUAGCGGAUGACUUGUGGCUGGGGGUGAAAGGCCAAUCAAACCGGGAGAUAGCUGGUUCUCCCCGAAAGCUAUUUAGGUAGCGCCUCGUGAAUUCAUCUUCGGGGGUAGAGCACUGUUUCGGCUAGGGGGUCAUCCCGACUUACCAACCCGAUGCAAACUACGAAUACCGAAGAAUGUUAUCACGGGAGACACACGGCGGGUGCUAACGUCCGUCGUGAAGAGGGAAACAACCCAGACCGCCAGCUAAGGUCCCAAAGUCAUGGUUAAGUGGGAAACGAUGUGGGAAGGCACAGACAGCCAGGAUGUUGGCUUAGAAGCAGCCAUCAUUUAAAGAAAGCGUAAUAGCUCACUGGUCGAGUCGGCCUGCGCGGAAGAUGUAACGGGGCUAAACCAUGCACCGAAGCUGCGGCAGCGACACUAUGUGUUGUUGGGUAGGGGAGCGUUCUGUAAGCCUGCGAAGGUGUGCUGUGAGGCAUGCUGGAGGUAUCAGAAGUGCGAAUGCUGACAUAAGUAACGAUAAAGCGGGUGAAAAGCCCGCUCGCCGGAAGACCAAGGGUUCCUGUCCAACGUUAAUCGGGGCAGGGUGAGUCGACCCCUAAGGCGAGGCCGAAAGGCGUAGUCGAUGGGAAACAGGUUAAUAUUCCUGUACUUGGUGUUACUGCGAAGGGGGGACGGAGAAGGCUAUGUUAGCCGGGCGACGGUUGUCCCGGUUUAAGCAUGUAGGCUGGUUGUCCAGGCAAAUCCGGAUAAUCAAGGCUGAGGUGUGAUGACGAGGCACUACGGUGCUGAAGUAACAAAUGCCCUGCUUCCAGGAAAAGCCUCUAAGCAUCAGGUAACAUCAAAUCGUACCCCAAACCGACACAGGUGGUCAGGUAGAGAAUACCAAGGCGCUUGAGAGAACUCGGGUGAAGGAACUAGGCAAAAUGGUGCCGUAACUUCGGGAGAAGGCACGCUGGUGUGUAGGUGAAGCCCCUGCGGGUGGAGCUGAGACCAGUCGAAGAUACCAGCUGGCUGCAACUGUUUAUUAAAAACACAGCACUGUGCAAACACGAAAGUGGACGUAUACGGUGUGACGCCUGCCCGGUGCCGGAAGGUUAAUUGAUGGGGUUAUCCGUAAGGAGAAGCUCUUGAUCGAAGCCCCGGUAAACGGCGGCCGUAACUAUAACGGUCCUAAGGUAGCGAAAUUCCUUGUCGGGUAAGUUCCGACCUGCACGAAUGGCGUAAUGAUGGCCAGGCUGUCUCCACCCGAGACUCAGUGAAAUUGAACUCGCUGUGAAGAUGCAGUGUACCCGCGGCAAGACGGAAAGACCCCGUGAACCUUUACUAUAGCUUGACACUGAACAUUGAGCCUUGAUGUGUAGGAUAGGUGGGAGGCUUUGAAGCGUGGACGCCAGUCUGCGUGGAGCCAACCUUGAAAUACCACCCUUUAAUGUUUGAUGUUCUAACGUUGGCCCCUGACCGGGGUUGCGGACAGUGUCUGGUGGGUAGUUUGACUGGGGCGGUCUCCUCCCAAAGCGUAACGGAGGAGCACGAAGGUUAGCUAAUCCUGGUCGGACAUCAGGAGGUUAGUGCAAUGGCAUAAGCUAGCUUGACUGCGAGCGUGACGGCGCGAGCAGGUGCGAAAGCAGGUCAUAGUGAUCCGGUGGUUCUGAAUGGAAGGGCCAUCGCUCAACGGAUAAAAGGUACUCCGGGGAUAACAGGCUGAUACCGCCCAAGAGUUCAUAUCGACGGCGGUGUUUGGCACCUCGAUGUCGGCUCAUCACAUCCUGGGGCUGAAGUAGGUCCCAAGGGUAUGGCUGUUCGCCAUUUAAAGUGGUACGCGAGCUGGGUUUAGAACGUCGUGAGACAGUUCGGUCCCUAUCUGCCGUGGGCGCUGGAGAAUUGAGGGGGGCUGCUCCUAGUACGAGAGGACCGGAGUGGACGCAUCACUGGUGUUCGGGUUGUCAUGCCAAUGGCACUGCCCGGUAGCUAAAUGCGGAAGAGAUAAGUGCUGAAAGCAUCUAAGCACGAAACUUGCCCCGAGAUGAGUUCUCCCUGAGACUUUAAGUCUCCUGAAGGAACGUUAAAGACGAUGACGUUGAUAGGCCGGGUGUGUAAGCGCAGCGAUGCGUUGAGCUAACCGGUACUAAUGAACCGUGAGGCUUAACCUUACAACGCCGAAG